AACGAACGCUGGCGGCAGGCCUAACACAUGCAAGUCGAGCGAGACCUUCGGGUCUAGCGGCGGACGGGUGAGUAACGCGUGGGAACGUGCCCUUUGCUACGGAAUAGCCCCGGGAAACUGGGAGUAAUACCGUAUGUGCCCUUCGGGGGAAAGAUUUAUCGGCAAAGGAUCGGCCCGCGUUGGAUUAGGUAGUUGGUGGGGUAAUGGCCUACCAAGCCGACGAUCCAUAGCUGGUUUGAGAGGAUGAUCAGCCACACUGGGACUGAGACACGGCCCAGACUCCUACGGGAGGCAGCAGUGGGGAAUCUUAGACAAUGGGGGAAACCCUGAUCUAGCCAUGCCGCGUGAGCGAUGAAGGCCUUAGGGUUGUAAAGCUCUUUCAGGUGGGAAGAUAAUGACGGUACCACCAGAAGAAGCCCCGGCUAACUCCGUGCCAGCCGCCGCCGUAA
rnacentral:rRNA from 1 species